AACGAACGCUGGCGGCAGGCUUAACACAUGCAAGUCGAACGGAUGUAGCAAUACAUUAGUGGCGCACGGGUGAGUAACGCGUGGGAACGUGCCCUUAGGUACGGAAUAACUUCGGGAAACUGAAGCUAAUACUGUAUAAUGUCUUUGGACCAAAGAUUUAUCGCCUAAGGAUAGGCCCGCGUUGGAUUAGGUAGUUGGUGAGGUAAUGGCUCACCAAGCCUACGAUCCAUAGCUGGUCGGAGAGGAUGAUCAGCCACACUGGGACUGGGACACCGCCCAGACUCCUACGGGAGGCAGCAGUGAGGAAUAUUGGACAAGGGAGGAAACUCUGAUCCAGCCAUGCCGCGUGAGUGAAGAAGGCCUUGGGGUUGUAAAGCUCUUUUACCCCUGACGAUAAUGACGGUAAGGGGAGAAAAAGCCACGGCUAACUUCGUGCCAGCGGCCGCCGUAA
rnacentral:rRNA from 1 species